rnacentral:rRNA from 1 species
AGGACGAACGCUGGCGGCGUGCUUAACACAUGCAAGUCGAGCGGUGAUCCUCCUUCGGGAGGUGAUCAGCGGCGAACGGGUGAGUAACACGUGGGCAACCUGCCCCUCACACUGGGAUAAACCUCGGGAAACCGGGCUAAUACCGGAUACGACCUCGAGCGGCAUCUCUUGAGGUGGAAAGCUCCGACGGUGAGGGAUGGGCCCGCGGCCUAUCAGCUUGUUGGUGGGGUAAUGGCCUACCAAGGCGACGACGGGUA